UGGUGAUAUGUACCUCUUUUGUGUGUUUCUUCUUUCCAUAUCAUACUAUUGUGUUUCUUCUUUCCAUAUCAUACUAUUUUCUGAUUUGGUUAUCUCUGUAUAUAUAAAAAAAAAAACCAAAAUAUAUAUGUAAAACUAAAACUAAAAUCAACCAGGUGUUUCUUCUUUCCAUAUCAAUGGUUUUGACAGCGGAUCACCAAGAUCACAUUCGAGAUGCUAUGGAAAUUAAUGACAAUGAAAGUAAGUCAAGUGACGACGAGUUAGCUUCCAUUACGGGUGUAUGGCGUGUCGAUAAGAAACGAACCGACUUUAACGGUCUUGAUCAGUACUUAGCGGCCAUCAGAGUUCCAGCAGUCUUUAGAGGUCUCGCAAAGG
rnacentral:ribozyme from 1 species